AGACUAAGCCAUGCAUGUCUAAGUACAGACCGCUUACGAAUCGGUGACACCGCGAAUGGCUCAUUAGAUCGAUCAUUGUUCCUUAGAUCGUACGUGCUGGUUGCAGCGAGUUGGAUAACUGUGGCAAUUCUAGAGCUAAUACAUGCAAGACGAGUCCGGAGACUGUCGCCCCUUCUGGGGGCGGUUGUCGAAGGGCGCUUUUAUUAGACCUGUCCAAGCCGUGCGUCCUUCCGGGGCGUUCGGCGGUGGUGACUCUGAAUAACUCUAUAUCGAGCUGAUCGCAGGCGGCGUCCUCACGGGCGUCCGCGGCGACGUAUCUUUCAAGUGUUCGGCCUAUCAAGUUUCGACGGUAGCUGCCUUGGCUACCGUGCUACUGACGGGUACCGGGGAAUCUGGGUUCGAUUCCGGAGAGGGAGCAUGAGAAACGGCUACCACGUCCAAGGAAGGCAGCAGGCGCGCAAAUUACCCACUCCCGGCACGGGGAGGUAGUGACGAAAAAUACCGAUGCGGGGCCCCCCGCGGGGCUCUCGUAAUCUGGACUGAGUACAUCCUAAACCCUUGCUUUAGCGAGGAUCUACUGGAGGGCAAGUCUGGUGCCAGCAGCCGCGGUAAUUCCAGCUCCAGCAGCGUAUACUAAAGUUGUUGCAGUUAAAAAGCUCGUAGUUGGAUGUCGGUACGUUGAUAGGCUCCGUUCGCGGGCGCGAGUUCGCGGGCGGCGGCCUGGGUUAAGCGUCGGUGUGGCUGUCUCAUGACGGCUACUACUGACCGACCCGACCUUGUCGGCGGCGCGUCGUUCGCGGCGCGCCGUCCGAUCUUUACUUUGAAAAAAUGAGAGUGUUCAAGACGGGCCUGUUUGUGCCUGAAUAGCGAAAGCAUGGAAUAAUGGAAUAGGAGCGUCCCCGUCCCGUCUGGGUUCCGUCCGCGGGGCUCGGCGGGGCGAGCUUUGGACGCUAAUGAUGAAAAGAGACGGUCGGGGGCAUUCGUAUUGCGGCGUGAGAGGUGAAAUUCUUGGACCGUCGCAAGACGAACUGGUGCGAAAGCGUUUGCCAAGGACGUUUUCAUUAAUCGAGAGCGAAAGUCAGAGGCUCGAAGACGAUCAGAUACCGUCGUAGUUCUGACCGUAAACGAUGUCGACCGGGGCUCGGCGGCCCGUCGUUGUCCUUAGUGACUAGUGACUCCGCCGGUACCCUUUCUCCCGCGGGAAACCUUUGAGUUUUUGGAUUCCGGGGGGAGUAUGGUUGCAAAGCUGAAACUUAAAGGAAUUGACGGAAGGGCACCACCAGGAGUGGAGCCUGCGGCUUAAUUUGACUCAACACGGGAAAGCUUACCCGGCCCGGACACCGUGAGGAUUGACAGAUUGAGAGCUCUUUCUCGAUUCGGUGGAUGGUGGUGCAUGGCCGUUCUUAGUUGGUGGAGUGAUUUGUCUGGUUGAUUCCGAUAACGAACGAGACUCUAGCCUGCUAACUAGUGCGACGGGUGGGCCUUGCCUCGCGGCUCGGCCUUGGCCGCGUCCUAUUUGUGGGGGCGCGGUCGCUUUGCCUGUCGCCGUGUGCCGUACGUCGCCUUCGGGGGGCGUCGGUGCGACUUCUUAGAGGGACAAGCGGUUCUAAAGCCGCACGAGAUUGAGCGAUAACAGGUCUGUGAUGCCCUUAGAUGUUCGGGGCCGCACGCGCGCUACACUGAAGGUACCAGAGGGUGUGAACACUCCCUCCCCGAAGCGGGGUGGGUAAACCGCAGAACUACCUUCGUGGCUUGGGACCGGGGCUUGGAACUGUUGCCCGCGAACGAGGAAUUCCCAGUAAGCGCGAGUCAUAAGCUGGCGUUGAUUACGUCCCUGCCCUUUGUACACACCGCCCGUCGCUACUACCGAUUGGACGGUUUAGCGAGGCCCUCGGAUCAGCGCGCCGCAAGCCCUUUCAACCUCCGUCGCUUCGGCGGCGCGGGGUGGGGCUGCGGCGAUUUGCUGAGAAGAUGGUCGAACUUGACCGUCUAGAGGA
rnacentral:rRNA from 1 species